rnacentral:rRNA from 1 species
ACUGCUCAGUAACACGUGAUCAACUUACCCUAUAGAGAAAAAUAACCUCGGGAAACUGAGGAUAAUGUUUCAUAAUUGAAUUGGCUUGGAAAAGUUUUUCAAUGAAAAGGAUAAAACAAAUGGUUUUUAUCUGCUAUAGGAUAGGAUCGUGUUCGAUUAUGGUUGUUGGUGAGAUAAUGGCUCACCAAGCCGAUAAUCGAUAGGGGCCGUGAGAGCGGGAGCCCCGAGAUGGGUACUGAGACAACGACCCAGGCCUUACGAGGCGCAGCAGGCGCGGAACCUCCGCAAUACACGAAAGUGUGACGGGGUUACCCAAAGUGUUCAAUAGAACUGUGGUAGGUGAGUAAUGUCCCCUACUAGAAAGGAGAGGGCAAGGCUGGUGCCAGCCGCCGCGGUAAAACCAGCUCUUCAAGUGGUCGGGAUAAUUAUUGGGCUUAAAGUGUCCGUAGCCGGUUUAGUAAGUUCCUGGUAAAAUCGGGUAGCUUAACUAUCUGCAUGCUAGGAAUACUGCUAUACUAGAGGGCGGGAGAGGUCUGAGGUACUACAGGGGUAGGGGUGAAAUCUUAUAAUCCUUGUAGGACCACCAGUGGCGAAGGCGUCAGACUGGAACGCGCCUGACGGUGAGGGACGAAAGCCAGGGGAGCGAACCGGAUUAGAUACCCGGGUAGUCCUGGCCGUAAACGAUGCAUACUAGGUGAUGGUACGGCCAUGAGCCGUAUCAGUGCCGUAGGGAAACCGUUAAGUGUGCCGCCUGGGAAGUACGGUCGCAAGGCUAAAACUUAAAGGAAUUGGCGGGGGAGCACCACAAGGGGUGAAGCCUGCGGUUCAAUUGGACUCAACGCCGG